rnacentral:tRNA from 1 species
CAAAUGUGGAGGGUGAGUUUCGGCCGGUUCCCAUCCGGCCAUCUUCAGGCGGGCAGUUCAAUUGCCAUUAUUGGCUGUUUGC